CCUACGGGAGGCAGCAGUAAGGAAUAUUGGACAAUGGAGGCAACUCUGAUCCAGCCAUGCCGCGUGCAGGAAGAAGGCGCUACGCGUUGUAAACUGCUUUUGUACCAGAGAAAAUCAUUGUACGUGUACGAUGUUGAUAGUAUGGUAAGAAUAAGCAUCGGCUAACUUCGUGCCAGCAGCCGCGGUAAUACGAAGGAUGCAAGCGUUAUCCGGAUUUAUGGGUUUAAAGGGAGCGUAGGCGGUCUUAUAAGUCAGUGGUGAAAUCUCGUUGCUUAACAACGAACGUGCCAUUGAUACUGUAGGACUUGAGUACAGUUGCCGUUGGCGGAAUGUGUCAUGUAGCGGUGAAAUGCAUAGAUAUGACACAGAACACCGAUUGCGAAGGCAGCUGACGAAACUGUAACUGACGCUGAGGCUCGAAAGCGUGGGGAUCAAACAGGAUUAGAUACCCUGGUAGUCCACGCCCUAAACUAUGAUUACUCGCUGUCGGCGAUAUAUGUGUAGNGUAGAGAAGAGUAAGUAAGUACACCGNGGAGGACGCCGCCGACGGUAGAACGUACGAAGAAGUAGUACGGACGNGGAGAGNGCGACGGACGACACGAGGGGAGGUUAGG
rnacentral:rRNA from 1 species